CCUGUCCUCUGCCUUGAGCAGCUGGGGGGCAGAGCCACUGCUGAGCAGCCUACAAAGGCUCUCCAAGGGAUCCCUGCCGGGUGCAGCUGGAACCACCUCCCGAGGCCUGGGAGCCCCUCUCCCAACAAAACCAGGCCUACCGAAUCUGUAGCAAUCUCAAGCAACUGAGAUUCCCUUCUGACAGCUGUUUGCGGAGUGCUGGGUGUGCACCUCAUGACCCCCAAAGGAUAAAACAAUCCAUGAUCUUCCACAGGAGAGGAAAAUCCCAAUCCUACCUUAUCUUCUCUUUGAAUUAGAAAGAAGAAAACCUUACCACUUCAAGCAAGACAGAAAAAGAAAAGAAUUUUGAAGAGUAGUAAGCACUGUACCUGCAGUUUCUUAAUAAAACCAAGGAGGAAUACUGCUGUUCUAAGACAUAUGAAGCUGUGACAGAUGAUCCUCCAUCUUUCUGCUGAAGUUGUUUUACUCCAGGGACAAAACAGUUCUGUUUUCUUUGCUUAAAUUUUCUUUUGCUGUCCACCAUUGCUGCAUUCGUACUUGGAACUGAAGGAAAGUUUGCAAGCCACACUGCCUUAGAAAAUUGAACGUUGACAUUACGUUACUGCGGUGCUUUGAUUACUGGCAACAGUCCUUUCCUGUGGAUACUGACACACCUACUGUGUUUGGCACAUCUGUCUUUUUCCCUUUGAGUACAUUGACAAGCAUUAGCCACCGAAAUGGAAGAAGUCUGGGUUGUGUAUCUGUGCCUGAUCUUGUUUGUCAUCGUGGUUUAUCUAAUGAAGCAUAACCGACACGUGGAGGAGGUCAAGAAAGAGAUGGAAAGCAAAAGCCCUCCACCUUCCUCUUCCUUUUUUCCCAGUAACGUUGGCAAGCAACUGGAGCACACCCAGGAGGAGCUGGAGCACUACCUGGAGAGGUUAACCCACGUCUUCUUUGACACAGAUGCCAGGAAAAGGGAGGGCCACCACGACCAGAGGUCCCACCAUCACCAGCACAAAAGCGCCAAUGCGAUGUCUGAAGCUGUGGAGCACUCAGGAAAGGAAGCAGCUUACUCUCCACAUCUGGCAAGCCAUACAAGGGUUCAGGAGAGAACCACUCCUCCUGGAAGCACUGAGAAUAUUGUGGAAGAGAUUGAACAAGCGGUUCAGGAGACUGUAGACACAGAUUUCUAUGUGAGGAGAAGACAGCACCCGUCUGCUUCCAGGAGAUACCGUGAGGGUCACUGGUAAACACAGCUCUCCGCCUGAAACAGCCAGCAAGCCUGAGACCGACAGCACUUAGAGCAGUUGCUGCUCCGGCUUCCAUGGCGUGUGGUGGCAGCUUGCAGAACUUAGCGGCAUUGCAGCCUUCCUGGAGGAGACCUGGAAUGAACCAAGGGGUCUGUGGGGGGGGGGAGGUCAGGGCAUCUUUAUGGCAUACCCAGGUGAGGGGUGGAGGAACAUUCAACAUUGCAGUUCUACUUUAGGUAGGGCAAAGAGCUUUCCCUGUGCUGAGGCCAGGUCAGGUGCAUUUGCUGUUUCUUGAGAAAUAAACACUCCAUCUUAUUUGUAAAGCUGCAGUGUUGAUCCAAUCAGAAAUUUACUGGCAGCAUCCCACACAGCUGCUGGGGUUGGCAGGCACCACUCUGCACCAAGAGAAAAAAGCAAUGCCUAAAAACAGAAGGCAAAAUCUCAAGAAGCACCAAAUGAUUUGGCCUGGCCAGUUUCUUUUUGAGUUAGGCAUUGCAGUAAGUGCCUGUUUCAGGUUCCUUGCAGAAUGCAAAGCUCUUAGCUGACCUGAGAACAUCGAUAGCUGGUAGCUGCCUGGCUUGACCCUUCUGGCUGAACUGAGAUGGGGUUUGCACACACACUGCUGACACUGGGGGCUGGCAGUGCUUAGCUCCAGCAGGGGAUUCGAGGCAGAAGCUGUUGCCUGCUGUUUCGGUUCAAUAUCUGCAAAUUGAGAGAGGAGCCAGGGAGUGCUGGGGCUGGACACUGAAGGGUUUUCCAUCUCCAAAGCCCUUUCCCAUAUGGCAGCACUUGAAAGUCAGAGGAGUUGGAUGUGACCAGUGACAUUGGUGACAGAGGCUCAGUGGGGAAGAAGAGUAAACAGUAGGUAGAAAUGCACUGGGUGCUGAUCCAUCAUCUACUAACCCACUAAACCCCAUCCAACAGAUUUUCAGUCCCUUCUUUGCAAUGGAAAGGCUGCCCCGAAGGCCUUGCAGCGCUCUCUCAUCUGCUGUGAGCACUUUACACCCUUGUGCUACAGUCCCUGUGAUAUCACAUGGGAUGUACAGUACCAAUCAAUGUAGUCUGCCAGGAAAAAAAGAAAAAAACACCUCUACAGAUCUCUCAAUUCACAGCCAUUCCAGCCAGCAAUGGGGGAAGGAAAAAAGCUGAAGUGGAUAAAUAGUGGGGAUUUCCUCAGGAUUUCAUCUAGAAUGGUUGCAGGUGAGCAACACAGAGGUGCUGAAAACAGCCUCCAAGCAGACAAUGGCUGCCAGGGUCAUCCUGUGUGUGGUGCUGCCCUUCCAGGCAGGAUCCUGGCAGCACACAAAGCCUGCAGCUCCUGUAGCUCUGCCCCAGCUCCCCCGCAGUCUUCCUAAGCCCUGACAUCUAAUCCUAAGGGUGGGGAGCGUGUCCUUGUUGGGGGCUGUGAACUCCUGCCUGAACACUUCACCUUGCCCCUCAGAUGGGCUCCUCACUCGAGCAGCAAAUGCCUGACAUCUCUCAGCCUACAAGGGACAGGCCAGCGGCUCUGAAAGCGCUUUGCUGGAAGCAGUACAGAGGUCUCCAGCUUCAGGAGGGCAGUGCGUGUUAGACUUGCUUGCAGCAGUAGCCUUAGAGGCAGCACAUGCAGCAGCCUGCGCUGUAGAAGUAGCAGUGAAAUGGAAAGGUCCUGUGAACACAGGGAGGAGCUCAGAGGUGCCUCUGUUGCAGCAGCAGAGCAGUGCUGCUCCGCACAUACACGGCCAGGCACGGCUCACCACAGCUGGGUGCUGGCACAGGCUGGGGAUGGCCCACAACCUCGUGCCUCCCACAGCUGUCCAGGCACCAGCAGCUGGGUGCAGGCUGCCCUCGUUUCAGGGUGCUUGGAAGCCUCCCCAAGGCAGCCUCCAGCAGCACAUGUGUCUGUGUGCACAGCAGAGUCAGCCCGUUCCUCGUACGAACCACGAGCCAUCAGAGCAAAACCAAUAAACACUGAGCUCUUAGUGCCUCCUGCCUGCUGGAACUGCUGA